rnacentral:lncRNA from 1 species
CCUGGGGCGAGCCCCAACCCGGGGCUCCAGCGGCGGAGCCCACCCACCCACCACCCUGGACCCCCGACGUGCCCUGUGCCGGUCACCCCAGGACCAGUGCCACCUGCCAGGGCUGGCCCUCCCCCUCCUGGCCUGGUGCCCGUGGUGCUGACUCAGGGGCCCCCGGGGCCUGUCCCACCGCAUUCCGGGGUGGCCUGUGCAAACACGGGGUGCCUCCCCACGGGCAUUGUCCGUCCCGGUUCCCGGGGAGGGGUGCGCCCAGGGCAUGGGGAGCCGCCGACCGCCGCCCGCCCACGCGCCCACCCACGGGGCGGCCUCGCUGACCUCGGCCUGUGGCGGCCCGGGGGCCCUUGUCAGCCCUGCGCCCCGGCCACUUCUCCUCGCCUUCCUCUGUGUCCCCGAGGCAGUGCCCGUCACCCCACUGCCCAGACGGGGAGACUGAGUUUUGGCCAUGCCCCGCCGGGAGGCCGGCGAGGCUGCACACCUGGCACACUGCCCUCCAGCGCUGUCACCCGCGCCCGGGGGCCCCUUCCAGAAACUCAGGCAGGGCGCGCCCCUCCGCCGGCCAGGAGCCGGGGGGCGACGUGCUCUCACGGGUGGCACAGCGGCGCUGACCCGGCAAGGCCCGGGCUGGCGGGGGCGCCCCGGCCCUGUGCUCGCUGUGCCCGGCGGCUCUUGGUCCUCCUUCAGCUCUCAGCUCUCAGCGCGGGGGCCGGGGCCGCCCCUUCCAGGAAGCCUCCCUGGCCCCCAGCGGAGCCAGACCCCCACCCAGCUCACAGUCCCUCUCACCUUCUGCAGUUUCUGGUUACCCCCCUUCGCCAGGCCAGCCCCCCCAAGGGCAGGGAGCAAGGUUUCCGCCCUCCACGCGGUGUGACGCACAGUGGGUGCUCAUCGGCCCGGGGGUGGGGUGUGGGGGCUGGGGCUUUGAGGGAUGACUAGGAGUUGGCCCAGUGAAGGUGUUGGGCAAAGGGAAGACCGUCAGAGAGAGAGUGAGAGAGAGAGAACAGCUGUAAAAGGGGUUGGUGUUGGAGACACGCUAAGUUAAAUCCUUCCACUCCAAGCCAGGAGAGGGGGACGUUUUUCCCCAGGCCGUGAAGAAGCACAGAAAAGUUUUAGAGCAGGGAGGGUAUGUAGCAAGUGUUCAAGUGAGAGGGACGCCUGGGGUCUCAGUGGUUGAGCACCUGCCUUCGGCUCAGGGUGUGACCCCGGGGCCCCGGAAUGGAGUCCCGCAUCGGGCUCCUCGCAGGGAGCCUGCUUCUCCCUCUGCCUGUGUCUCUGCCUCUCUGUGUCUCAUGAAUAAAUAAAUAAAAUGUUUUUUAAAAGUUUUUCAAGUGAGGAAGAGCCUCCUGAAGUCAGUGUUGAGGCUCUCUAGAUCGAAAGUCAGCAAACUAUGGCCCAAGGGCCAAAUGAGGCCCUUGUCUCGUUUUUAUAAAUAAAGCUUUAUUGACA